AAGAUGUGCAUUGGGCAUUUACGUAACAAGUCCUUGAAACAUUCUCAUGCCUCAUACAAAUUCUCAUCUUCUAAUUGCUUGAAAGAUGUCAGGUCAUUUCGUAUCAC